CAUGGGUUUAUGUUAUAUUCCAUCUCUUGCACACUGGACUAGCCAGCUUUUUGUUGGCUUCAGCUUCAGGUUGGUGUGCAGGGGGUGGAAUACAUCAUUGAUAUCAUG
rfam:Gossypium raimondii Chr08_contig_292, whole genome shotgun sequence.